rnacentral:rRNA from 1 species
CUUUUGCUGGCGACCGGCGCACGGGUGAGCAACACGUAUCCAACCUGCCCUUUACUCGGGGAUAGCCUUUCGAAAGAAAGAUUAAUACCCGAUAGCAUAAUGAUUCCGCAUGGUUUCAUUAUUAAAGGAUUCCGGUAAAGGAUGGGGAUGCGUUCCAUUAGGUUGUUGGUGAGGUAACGGCUCACCAAGCCUUCGAUGGAUAGGGGUUCUGAGAGGAAGGUCCCCCACAUUGGAACUGAGACACGGUCCAA